ACGCACGCUGGCGGCGUGCUUAACACAUGCAAGUCGAACGAAGAGCGCUGGAAGCUUGCUUCUAUCAAUCUUAGUGGCGAACGGGUGAGUAACGCGUAAUCAACCUGCCCUUCAGAGGGGGACAACAGUUGGAAACGACUGCUAAUACCGCAUACGAUCCAAUCUCGGCAUCGGGACUGGAUGAAAGGUGGCCUCUAUUUAUAAGCUAUCACUGAAGGAGGGGAUUGCGUCUGAUUAGCUAGUUGGAGGGGUAACGGCCCACCAAGGCGAUGAUCAGUAGCCGGUCUGAGAGGAUGAACGGCCACAUUGGGACUGAGACACGGCCCAGACUCCUACGGGAGGCAGCAGUGGGGAAUCUUCCGCAAUGGACGAAAGUCUGACGGAGCAACGCCGCGUGAGUGAUGACGGCCUUCGGGUUGUAAAGCUCUGUUAAUCGGGACGAAUGGUUCUUGUGCGAAUAGUGCGAGGAUUUGACGGUACCGGAAUAGAAAGCCACGGCUAACUACGUG
rnacentral:rRNA from 1 species